GGGGAUGUACCGGUUUCGACGGGACAUUGGAUCGCGAAGAUGCGUGCCGAGCUACGCUGGUGGAGCUCGUAAAUACAACCGGCGAACAACAAAUGGCGAUAACUUUGGUUAUCGCAUGGCCGCUUAAGUAAGCCGCUAUGCCAUCGGAUUCAUAGGUGCCUGUAGCUCUGAAUUUCGGUGUUGCCCCUUAACAGGCUAGCGUGAAGUUUGGUAUCGGGACGUAACGUUAAACAUUACCGAUGCUGGCAAUAAGACACCUGUUGGCCGGUAAACCUUAUUGUGAGAUAAACAAAGACCAAAGACGCACGUGGUAGGCUUCGGUGAAGGUGUUUCGGACCCGGGUUCGACUCCCGGCAUCUCCACAA
rfam:Chlorobi bacterium OLB6 TZ06_CHB003CONTIG000016, whole genome shotgun sequence.